rnacentral:tRNA from 1 species
GUCACGAUAGCUCAAGUGGUAGAGCAGCGGCGUUUCUAGCCGAAGGUCGUGGGUUCGAAUCCCGCUCGUGACA